rnacentral:rRNA from 1 species
AGUUUGAUCCUGGCUCAGGAUGAACGCUGGCGGCGUGCUUAACACAUGCAAGUCGAACGUGAAGGCGUAGCAAUAUGCCUGAAAGUGGCGGACGGGUGAGUAACACGUGGGUGACCUGCCUCGUAGUGGGGGAUAACCAUGGGAAACUGUGGCUAAUACCGCAUGGUCCGUUUAGGAAGGGAUUCUAAGCGGUAAAGCUUUAGUGCUACGAGAGGGGCCUGCGGUCGAUUAGGUAGUUGGUGAGGUAACGGCUCACCAAGCCGAUGAUCGAUAGCUGGUCUGAGAGGACGAUCAGCCACACGGGUACUGAGAGACGGUCCCGACUCCUACGGGGGGCAGCAGUGAGGAAUAUUGGGCAAUGGGCGCAAGCCUGACCCAGCAACGCCGCGUGAAGGAUGAAGGCCCUUGGGUUGUAAACUUCUUUUAGGGGGAAGAGAGCGGACGGUACCCCCAGAAUAAGUCACGGCUAACUACGUGCCACAGCCGCGGUAAUACGUAGUUACAAGCGUUAUCCGGAAUUACUGGGCGUAAAGCGCACGCAGCGCGGCGUAAGUCUGACGUGAAAUCUCCCGGCUUAACUGGGAGGGGUCGUUUGGAAACUACUGGCUUGAGGCGAGGAGAGGGGUGUGGAAUUCCCGGUGUAUGGUGGAAUGCGUAAAUUUCGGGAGGAACCAUCAAUGGCAAAAGCGCACCCCUNGCCCUUGCCUGACGCUCAGGUGCGAAAGCGUUGGGGAAGCGAACGGGAUUAGAUACCCCGNCAGUUCCGCCCCGUAAACGAUGAACACUAGGUGUAGGUUGUUCUCAAAAUCAUUGUGCCGCAGCCAACGCGAUAAGUGUUCCGCCUGGGGAGUACGCCGCAAGGCUAAAACUCAAAGGAAUUGACGGGGGCCCGCACAAGCAGCGGAGCGUGUGGUUUAAUUCGAUGCGACGCGAAAAACCUUACCUGGGUUUGACAUGGGCGUAGUAGUGAAGCGAAAGCGGAACGACCCUUCGGGGAGCGUUCACAGGUGCUGCAUGGCUGUCGUCAGCUCGUGUCGUGAGAUGUUGGGUUAAGUCCCGCAACGAGCGCAACCCUCGUCGCUAGUUACACGUGUCUAGCGAUACUGCCGGUCUCAAACCGGAGGAAGGUGGGGAUGACGUCAAGUCAGCAUGGUCUUUAUAUCCAGGGCGACACACACGCUACAAUGGGCGGUACAAUGGGCAGCGAAGGGGCGACCUGGAGCGAAUCCCAUCAAAGCCGUUCGUAGUUCGGAUUGUAGGCUGCAACUCGCCUACAUGAAGCCGGAGUUGCUAGUAAACGCAGGUCAGCAUUACUGCGUUGAAUACGUUCCCGGGCCUUGUACACACCGCCCGUCACGUUCAUGGGAGUUGGUAACACUUGAAGUCGGUGACCCAACCGCAAGGAGGGAGCUGCCUAGGGUGGGGCUGAUGACUGGGACGAAGUCGUACAAGGUAGCCGUACCGGAAGGUGUGGCUGGAUCACCUCC